AGAACGAACGCUGGCGGCAUGCCUAAUACAUGCAAGUCGAACGAACUCUUCGGAGUUAGUGGCGCACGGGUGCGUAACGCGUGGGAAUCUGCCCCUUGGUUCGGAAUAACAGUUGGAAACGACUGCUAAUACCGGAUGAUGACGAAAGUCCAAAGACUUAUCGCCAAGGGAUGAGCCCGCGUAGGAUUAGCUAGUUGGUGAGGUAAAGGCUCACCAAGGCAACGAUCCUUAGCUGGUCUGAGAGGAUGAUCAGCCACACUGGGACUGAGACACGGCCCAGACCU
rnacentral:rRNA from 1 species